GCUCAGUGACCACGAAAGGGCGGAAAAUAAGACUGCCGUGGAUCCACUUCCAAAUGGCGACAUCAUCAAGGACAGCCCAGAGCAACCUUUCCUGGAUGGAUCUUGGAGGGCUGCCUGUGUAAGCUGCGCUUGGAAUUGAAGGUCUUGCUUUYACUUCAUAUAGCCAGCUGAGAAGGUAAAGAAAAUCCAUCAAGUCCAUGAA